rnacentral:lncRNA from 1 species
AUUGUGUUCCGAGAUAAUUUAACUCUAUGCCAGGCUAGAUUAAGUCUGUUCCAAGCUUAUUUAACUUGCCGAGAUGAUUUAACUGUGUUUCGAGAUAAUUUAACUCUAUGCCAUGCUAGAUUAAGUGUGUUUCAAGCUUUUUUAACUGUGCCGGAAUGAUUUAACUGUGUGCCGGGAUGAUUUAACUGUGUACCAAGUUAGAUUAAGUGUGUUCCAAGCUUAUUUAACUAUGUGCCAGGAUGAUUUUACUGUAUGCCAGGGUAGAUUAAGUAUGUUCCAAACUUAUUUAACUGUGUUCCAAGAUGA